GGGGAGACCAUUUUGUUUGCUGCUGCAGAAGCUGUUGGGGCGUUGGAAUCAAGUUCCCCCAGAGGUGCUAGGCAUGAUUCCACCACUCAAUUUAUAAUGGCGUAUUCACCAAACGAGCUGUGUGUCUCAGUGAUGCAGGAGGAAAUGAGACCACCCAGAGGGGACCCAUGUGCAGGAAGAAGAUUCCAAUUCUAUUUGGACAACACCCAAGGUCAAGAUUGAACCUGGGGUCUGGCAUUCUGAGCCUGACAGAAUAUUUGGAUAUGGCCCAAGUAUGGAGAGAGAGAGAGACAAUAAAGUUCAUGAUUGAAAGAACUUCAUCUGCCUGUGGUUCCAAGGUUGUGACUCCCUGCUGCUUGUGACUGAGGAAAACAGAACAAAUCCUUCAACCACAGAUGUUUGUGCCAAACACGCGGUCAACCUAAGCUAAUUCUCUUUUACAGGAAAAUCCAUAUCCGUGAAGGUUCAGAGGUGACUGGAAGGAUUUUUUUUACUCUUUCUUUUUUCUUCCGAUUUUAUCCUCAAAUGGACUGCCCAAUCUUUCUUUUCUUUUUUUUCCUUUUUUUUGUUUCCAAUUUAGUUUAGCGGGUUUUUCCCCUUUAUAUAAAUAAAA